ACGCUCGACACCUACAGGAGGCAGCAGUUGGGAAUAUUGGACAAUGGAGGAAACUCUGAUCCAGUGACGCCGCGUGAAGGAAGAAGGUCUUCGGAUUGUAAACUUAUUUUGUCAGGGAAGAAAAAUGACUGUACCUGAAGAAAAAGCACCGGCUAACUACGUGCUAGCAGCCGCGGUAAUCUGAGCGGGCUGGCAAGGC
rnacentral:rRNA from 1 species